GAUGAACGCUGGCGGCGUGCCUAAUACAUGCAAGUCGAGCGAACGGACGAGAAGCUUGCUUCUCUGAUGUUAGCGGCGGACGGGUGAGUAACACGUGGAUAACCUACCUAUAAGACUGGGAUAACUUCGGGAAACCGGAGCUAAUACCGGAUAAUAUUUUGAACCGCAUGGUUCAAAAGUGAAAGACGGUCUUGCUGUCACUUAUAGAUGGAUCCGCGCUGCAUUAGCUAGUUGGUAAGGUAACGGCUUACCAAGGCAACGAUGCAUAGCCGACCUGAGAGGGUGAUCGGCCACACUGGAACUGAGACACGGUCCAGACUCCUACGGGAGGCAGCAGUAGGGAAUCUUCCGCAAUGGGCGAAAGCCUGACGGAGCAACGCCGUGUGAGUGAUGAAGGUCUUCGGAUCGUAAAACUUUGUUAUUAGGGAAGAACAUAUGUGUAAGUAACUGUGCACAUCUUGACGGUACCUAAUCAGAAAGCCACGGCUAACUACGUG
rnacentral:rRNA from 1 species